rnacentral:rRNA from 1 species
UACGAAGGGGGCUAGCGUUGUUCGGAAUCACUGGGCGUAAAGCGCACGUAGGCGGAUCUUUAAGUCAGGGGUGAAAUCCCGAGGCUCAACCUCGGAACUGCCUUUGAUACUGGGGAUCUCGAGUCCGGGAGAGGUGAGUGGAACUCCGAGUGUAGAGGUGAAAUUCGUAGAUAUUCGGAAGAACACCAGUGGCGAAGGCGGCUCACUGGCCCGGUACUGACGCUGAGGUGCGAAAGCGUGGGGAGCAAACAGGG